AGCAUAUCAAUAAGCGGAGGAAAAGAAACUAACAAGGAUUCCCCUAGUAACGGCGAGUGAAGCGGGAAAAGCUCAAAUUUGUAAUCUGGCGCCUUCGGCGUCCGAGUUGUAAUCUCGAGAAGUAUUUUCCGCGCUGGACCGCACAUAAGUCUGUUGGAAUACAGCGUCAUAGUGGUGAGAACCCCGUAUAUGGUGCGGAUGCCCAGUGCUUUGUGAUAUACUUUCGAAGAGUCGAGUUGUUUGGGAAUGCAGCUCAAAUUGGGUGGUAAAUUCCAUCUAAAGCUAAAUAUUGGCGAGAGACCGAUAGCGAACAAGUACCGUGAGGGAAAGAUGAAAAGCACUUUGGAAAGAGAGUUAACAGUACGUGAAAUUGUUGGAAGGGAAACGCUUGAAGUCAGACUUGCAUUUUGGAGUUCAGCCGCAAGGUGUAUUCUUCAAUUCGCAGGCCAGCAUCAGUUUUCGGGGGUGGAAAAUCGCGGUUUGAAGGUAGCAGUCUCGGCUGUGUUAUAGCUUUCCGCUGGAUUCACUUUUGGGGACUGAGGAACGCAGUACGCUUUUUGCAAGAUUCUAGAGUCUUUCGUACUUAGGAUGCUGGUGGAAUGGCUUUAAACGACCCG
rnacentral:rRNA from 1 species